rnacentral:rRNA from 1 species
UACGAAGGGGGCUAGCGUUGCUCGGAAUCACUGGGCGUAAAGCGCACGUAGGCGGCUUUUUAAGUCAGGGGUGAAAUCCUGGAGCUCAACUCCAGAACUGCCUUUGGUACUGAGAAGCUUGAGUCCGGGAGAGGUGAGUGGAACUGCGAGUGUAGAGGUGAAAUUCGUAGAUAUUCGCAAGAACACCAGUGGCGAAGGCGGCUCACUGGCCCGUAACUGACGCUGAGGUGCGAAAGCGUGGGGAGCAAACAGG